GAUGAACCUGGAAAUUUGACGAUUACUUAUGUCGGCACCAACAACAUUUCCCUAGAAUGGAACAUCCCUUGGAUGUUUAACGGUGCACUUAAUUCGUUUAUAAUAAACGCAGAAGAAGUUUCUGCAAUAGAUAUUGAUUCAUGUUGUACUAGUUAUCCGCCUAUUGAACUAUUAGUUACCGAAGAAAAGCCGACUUAUACUUAUAAGCUAGGUAACUUAAAGCCUGGUUCAACUUAUGCAAUCGGUGUGCUGUCAAAAACUUCAUGGUAUAGUCAAGUUAAAAGAAUUCACGUUACAACACUGAUUGAUUAAAAAUAUCGAGUCAUUUACCAAGUGUUCAUGAUAAUUUAAUUUAGAAUUAAUAUCUCGUUUUUAAUAGAAACGUGACUUAUCAUAUUAAUUUUUUGUACUUAUAAUAGACAAAAUAAAAGUUUAUUAUAUUUAUUUAUUAAUA